rnacentral:rRNA from 1 species
UACGUAGGGUGCAAGCGUUUGUCCGGAAUUAUUUGGGCGUAAAGAGCUCGUAGGCGGUCUGUCGCGUCUGCUGUGAAAACUCAGGGCUUAACCCUGAGCUUGCAGUGGGGUACGGGCAGACUAGAGUGCGGUAGGGGAGACUGGAAUUCCUGGUGAUAGCGGUGAAAUGACGCAGAUAUCAGGAGGAACACCGGUGGCGAAGGCGGGUCUCUGGGCCGAACUGACGCUGGAGGAGCGGAAAGCCAGUGGGGGAGCGAAACAGGA